rnacentral:misc_RNA from 1 species
GUUAAAACCAAUUCCAAAUUGCCUAGAAGAAACUAAAAAUUUGAUCUCAUUUGAAAGAACAAAACCAAAAGAAUAUGAAAGUUCUAGAAUAAUUGACUUCAGUUAGGGAGCACCAAAAGAGACUGAUAAACAAAAGACAUUCACUCUCACAAAAAAACAAGAGCUUACAGUGUCAGCAACAUAUGAACAAUUUUAUAAGAUGCCAAGUAGUUUAAAGAACCAUCAGAGCUAAUAAUAGAAUUUUGCUUAAUA